GGGAUGGUGACACCAAAAUAAAUCAAGACAAAGGCUAUUAAUUGUAAUGUCCACGUCAAGAGGGUUAUGCUUCGCUCAUUGCGAAGCUGGCAAUUCUGCAAGAACAAUUUUUCUCACUGUACUUUUCUCUGUGUGCUUCAGGGUUGCCACCAAAGCAAAGAGACCAAGGCAUCUGGGGGGAAGGGUGGCAUAAGAGUCAGCCCUGCCUUCGUGAGACAAUUUUGCUACUGGAUAUGAAAAAUCAAGUCAAGGUUACAACUGCCACAAAACUUAUGGUUUCAUUUUGACUGAUUUGUUGACUCAUGACAUAAGCAAACUGAGCUGAGAGACUAAAAUCACACCCCUGUAAUUAUGGUUUCAGAAUAAAUGCUCGUCAUUGUACAUCAGCAAACGUAACUGUUGAUUUCAGACUUUGGAGGGCAGUCUAUCUAGGGCCUGAUUCUAAUCUUAGGUACACUGGUUUUACACUGAAGUAAACCCCCAUCAAUGUCAAUGGAGUUACUCUGUCAUAAAACCAAUGAGAGAUCAGAAUCUGGCUCCAGACUUGCUAUUUUGUUUUCC